CCUACGGGGCGCACCAGUGGGGAAUCUUAGACAAUGGGCGCAAGCCUGAUCUAGCGAUGCCGCGUGAGUGACGAAGGUCUUAGGAUCGUAAAGCUCUUUCGCCUGUGAUGAUAAUGACAGUAGCAGGUAAAGAAACCCCGGCUAACUCCGUGCCAGCAGCCGCGGUAAUACGGAGGGGGUUAGCGUUGUUCGGAAUUACUGGGCGUAAAGCGCACGUAGGCGGAUUAGUCAGUCAGAGGUGAAAUCCCAGGGCUCAACCCUGGAACUGCCUUUGAUACUGCUAGUCUUGAGUUCGAGAGAGGUAAGUGGAAUUCCGAGUGUAGAGGUGAAAUUCGUAGAUAUUCGGAGGAACACCAGUGGCGAAGGCGACUUACUGGCUCGAUACUGACGCUGAGGUGCGAAAGCGUGGGGAGCAAACAGGAUUAGAUACCCCAGUAGUC
rnacentral:rRNA from 1 species